rnacentral:lncRNA from 1 species
UUGAAAACUACAGUUGUGAUCUCUAUUGAUAUUAUACGCACCCUCUUGUGAACCAUGUGUUGUGAAAUCUUUGUGUAUAAAAGGCCUCUUGUGAGCUAGGGUUUCUGGAACGUUCAUUCAUCUUAUCUCACACUCUCUAACUUUGGGGUUUUUGUUCAUACCAGUUGAAGACGAAUCAAGUUGAAGACGAAUCAAGGUCUGUUCGUU